rnacentral:rRNA from 1 species
AUGAACGCUGGCGGCGUGCCUAAUACAUGCAAGUCGAGCGAACGGACGAGAAGCUUGCUUCUCUGAUGUUAGCGGCGGACGGGUGAGUAACACGUGGAUAACCUACCUAUAAGACUGGGAUAACUUCGGGAAACCGGAGCUAAUACCGGAUAAUAUUUUGAACCGCAUGGUUCAAAAGUGAAAGACGGUCUUGCUGUCACUUAUAGAUGGAUCCGCGCUGCAUUAGCUAGUUGGUAAGGUAACGGCUUACCAAGGCAACGAUGCAUAGCCGACCUGAGAGGGUGAUCGGCCACACUGGAACUGAGACACGGUCCAGACUCCUACGGGAGGCAGCAGUAGGGAAUCUUCCGCAAUGGGCGAAAGCCUGACGGAGCAACGCCGCGUGAGUGAUGAAGGUCUUCGGAUCGUAAAACUCUGUUAUUAGGGAAGAACAUAUAUGUAAGUAACUGUGCACAUCUUGACGGUACCUAAUCAGAAAGCCACGGCUAACUACGUG